rnacentral:sRNA from 1 species
AGUAAACCAUGUCUUUAGCUUCAUUAUGAAGAUUGCUUCUUUCUUGCUGCAGAAUAACGAUGUAACCUCGGGUAUGGUGAAAGACCCACCGGACGUCUUGGACAGGCAAAAAUGCCUUGACGCUCUGGCUGCUCUACGCCACGCUAAGUGGUUCCAGGCUAGAGCUAAUGGUCUGCAGUCCUGUGUGAUUAUCAUACGCAUUCUUCGAGACCUCUGUCAGCGAGUUCCAACUUGGUCUGAUUUUCCAAGCUGGGCUAUGGAGUUACUAGUAGAGAAAGCAAUCAGCAGUGCUUCUAGCCCUCAGAGCCCUGGGGAUGCACUGAGAAGAGUUUUUGAAUGCAUUUCUUCAGGGAUUAUUCUUAAAGGUAGUCCUGGACUUCUGGAUCCUUGUGAAAAGGAUCCCUUUGAUACCUUGGCAACAAUGACUGACCAGCAGCGUGAAGACAUCACAUCCAGUGCACAGUUUGCAUUGAGACUCCUUGCAUUCCGCCAGAUACACAAAGUUCUAGGCAUGGAUCCAUUACCGCAAAUGAGCCAACGUUUUAACAUCCACAACAACAGGAAACGAAGAAGAGACAGUGAUGGAGUUGAUGGAUUUGAAGCUGAGGGGAAAAAAGACAAAAAAGAUUAUGAUAACUUUUAAAAAGUGUCUGUAAAUCUUCAGUGUUAAAAAAACAGAUGCCCAUUUCUUGGCUGUUUUUCAUUCAUAAUAAUGUCUACAUUGAAAAAUGUAUCAAGAAUUUAAAGGAUUUCAUGGAAGAACCAAGUUUUUCUAUGACAUUAAAAAAUGUACAAUGUUAGGUAUUAUUUGAAUGGAAAGACACCCAAAAAAAAAAAAAAUGUGCUCCGACUAGGGGGAAAACAGUAGUUCCGAUUUUUUCCCAUUAUUUUUAUUUUAUUUUCUGGUUGCCCUAGCUUCCCCCCCUCUUUUUGUGUCUUUUAUUAACUAGUGCAUUGUCUUAUUAAAUCUUCACUGUAUUUAAUGCAGGAUUUGUGCUUCAGUUGCUCUGUGUAUUUUGAUAUUUUAAUUUAGAGGUUUUGUUUGCUUUUUGACACUAGUUGUAAGUUACUUUGUUAUAGAUGAUAUCCUUUACCCCUUCUUAAUAUUUUACAGCAGUACGUUUUUUUGUAACGUGAGACUGCAGAGUUUGUUUUUCUAUAUGUGAAGGAUUACAACACAAAAAGUUAUCCUGCCAUUCGAGUGCUCAGAACUGAAUGUUUCUGCAGAUCUUGUGGCAUUUGUCUCUAGUGUGAUAUAUAAAGGUGUAAUUAAGACAGAGUUCUGUUAAUCUAAUCAAGUUUGCUGUUAGUUGUGCAUUAGCAGUAUAAAAGCUAAUAUAUACUAUAUGGUCUUGCAACAGUUUUAAAGCCUCUGCAUAAAUGAUAAUAAAAAUGCAUGACAUUCUUGUUUUUAAUAGACUUUUAAAAUCAUAAUUUUAGGUUUAACACGUAGAUCUUUGUACAGUUGACUUUUUGACAUAGCAAGGCCAAAAAUAACUUUCUGAAUAUUUUUUUCUUGUGUAUAAGUGGAAAGGGCAUUUUUCACAUAUAAGU